rnacentral:rRNA from 1 species
GAUGAACGCUGGCGGCGUGCCUAAUACAUGCAAGUCGAGCGAACGGACGAGAAGCUUGCUUCUCUGAUGUUAGCGGCGGACGGGUGAGUAACACGUGGAUAACCUACCUAUAAGGCUGGGAUAACUUCGGGAAACCGGAGCUAAUACCGGAUGAUAUUUUGAACCGCAUGGUUCAAAAGUGAAAGACGGUCUUGCUGUCACUUAUAGAUGGAUCCGCGCUGCAUUAGCUAGUUGGUAAGGUAACGGCUUACCAAGGCAACGAUGCAUAGCCGACCUGAGAGGGUGAUCGGCCACACUGGAACUGAGACACGGUCCAGACUCCUACGGGAGGCAGCAGUAGGGAAUCUUCCGCAAUGGGCGAAAGCCUGACGGAGCAACGCCGCGUGAGUGGUGAAGGUCUUCGGAUCGUAAAACUCUGUUAUUAGGGAAGAACAUAUGUGUAAGUAACUGUGCACAUCUUGACGGUACCUAAUCAGAAAGCCACGGCUAACUACGUG